rnacentral:rRNA from 1 species
CGGUUGAUCCUGCCGGACCCCACUGCUAUCGGGGUGGGACUAAAACAUGCGAGUCGAGCGCCUCCAGGCCAUGGUGGAGGCGCGGCGCACGGCUCAGUAACACGUGGCUAACCUACCCUUAGGACGGGGAUAACCCCGGGAAACUGGGGCUAAUACCCGAUAGGUGAGGAGGUCUGGAAUGACUCCUCACCGAAAGGGUGUAGGGACCAUGCCUCCCUACACCGCCUAAGGAUGGGGCCGCGGCCGAUCAGGUAGUUGGUGAGGUAACGGCUCACCAAGCCUAUAACCGGUACGGGCCGUGAGAGCGGGAGCCCGGAGAUGGGCACUGAGACAAGGGCCCAGGCCCUACGGGGCGCAGCAGUUGCGAAACCUCCGCAAUGCGCGAAAGCGCGACGGGGCUACCCCGAGUGCCGCCCGCUGAGGGUGGCUUUUCUCCGGUGUAACGAGCCGGAGGAAUAAGGAGAGGGCAAGCCUGGUGUCAGCCGCCGCGGUAAUACCAGCUCUCCGAGUGGUGGGGACGAUUAUUGGGCCUAAAGCGUCCGUAGCCGGUCUGGUAAGUAUCCCGUUAAAUCCAACGACCUAAUCGUUGGACUGCGGGAUAUACUGCCAGACUAGGGGGCGGGAGAAGUCGACGGUAUUCCCGGGGUAGGGGUGAAAU